rnacentral:rRNA from 1 species
UACGGAGGAUCCGAGCGUUAUCCGGAUUUAUUGGGUUUAAAGGGUGCGUAGGCGGUUUGAUAAGUUAGAGGUGAAAUGUCGGGGCUCAACCCCGAAACUGCCUCUAAUACUGUUGGACUAGAGAAUAGUUGCGGUAGGCGGAAUGUAUGGUGUAGCGGUGAAAUGCUUAGAGAUCAUACAGAACACCGAUUGCGAAGGCAGCUUACCAAACUAUAUCCGACGUUGAGGCACGAAAGCGUGGGUAGCAAACAGG